CCUACGGGAGGCAGCAGUGGGGAGUAUUGGACAAUGGGGGGAACCCUGAUCCAGCAAUGCCGCGUGUGUGAAGAAGGCCUGCGGGUUGUAAAGCACUUUGAGUGGUGAGGAAGGCUUGAGGGUGAAAAACCUUUGAGAUUGACGUUAGCCACAGAACAAGCACCGGCUAACUCUGUGCCAGCAGCCGCGGUAAU
rnacentral:rRNA from 1 species